AGUGUUGUCACAUGAAAAGAUAUAAUAAAAUAUUUACAAAUAUUUUAGGGGUGUACUCACUUUUCAAAUACUGUACAUAUAGUUAAUACAAUGUUAAACAAAAAUCUGCAUACCAGUCAAGCCAUAAGAUAUGCUUUUCCCACAGAAAUCACAAAUUUGCAGUGAUGUUACUUCCACAAAGGAUUCUGGGUGGGCAUAUGCAAAUUAGUUUAACAAAGAAUCACAUUUUUGUCUCAUAUCAUUUUAAACAUGGAUUUCUUCAAAUCUGUGUUUGCUGUAUACAACAGCUUUGAAACCCAACUUAGGGAAAGAUACAAAGCCAGUGAACCACUCAUGGACAGCUGUUUUAUUGUUAAUGCAAAUCAUGAGCAUGAGGUUGCUUACUGGUUUGCUAUUGGGGCUUGGUAGUGGUUGGGAAGCAAAAACCAAAAAGGUUAUGGUGGGGGGGGGGAAAUUGUGGUUGAAAAACCCUCCCACCUAAAGUCUGUGGCUAGUUAAUACAAUGUUAAAGGAACACUCCAAUCACCAUAAUCACUUAAGCAACCUGAUCACUCCAGGAGUGACCUGGCACCCUCCCACAUUGUAAAUACUCAAACCAUUUUAGAAACACUCUCUGCAUCCACUACUUAAGUCAAAGAGACAGAAUAUUUUGUCUGUUCUAAGUAGGUGGCACAUGGUGCACUGCAAUGCUUAGCUUAGGAGAGCUAAUAGAAAAUCCUACUUAGAAGAUUGUGGCUUUCCAUCAUCAGUAGUAGAGGCAGGGCCGGUGCAAGGAUUUUGCCGCCCUAGGCAAAAAAAAAUGUGCUGCCCCGCCAUAUGUGCUACCCACCAUGUGACAUCACAAUGCCCCGCCCAUAUGCUUUUACCUGAAAAGGUAGUGUGUUUACAUUAAAAAGCCUGAAGGCACAGGCUACAGACACCAGAACCACUACAUUAAGCUGUAGUGUUUCUGGUGACUAUAGUGGCCCUUUAAUGUUAGGUAAAUUAGAGAUUAGUGCCACUAAUAAUAUAUUGGAUUGCCUACUUACCACCAAAUGAGGACAAGAGGAUGAUGAUGGGCUCAGGCUGUAGUUUGGCUCCACAGGUCUGUUGUAGAAGAGGCUCUCUAGAGACUGUUUGUAACAGUGCUCACAACAAUUAAUGAACAUGAGACAGCUCCAUUUUUUGGGGCCCCUUACACAGCUCAAGGUCUGACCGGGGCCUGACCGUGAGUAUGCCUACAAGGCCUACCCAUGAUUCCACCUACAUGGAGUGGAGUGUAUGUGUGUAGGGGAUGUGUUAUGUGUUAUUGUAGAGGAUGUAAUGUGUAUGUGUUCUUAUGGAAUGUAGUGUGUAGGGAUACCAAUUUGUGUAAGGGAUGAAGUGUGUGUAUAGUGAGUGAGUGUUUGUGUGUAAGGAAUGCAUUUUGUGCCCCCUACCUAUGUAGCGUGGCCGGGCGGCGUGGAUCACAGUACAGGAACUGAGUGAGCCGAGUGUCAGUCCGCCGGCGGCCGGGUACAGGAAAAAUAACUUCCUGUCCCGAGGUCCGUUUAAGACGUUUUGCCUACUUGCAUUGGAGGAAACAUUGCAUUACUAAAGCCACUGCAGGGGCUAUGGUGCUUGAAGUGUUCCUUUGAAGAAAGUCAAAUUUAUUUAGAUAAACACAUGAAAACAUCUGUUAACUGGAUUUUUGUUGGAAACUUCCAUCCAGCCUACGGUACCUAUUCACAACCUACACAAAUGCUUUGAUCACAGCAGCAGCUCUGUCAUAGAGCUGGUCAUGGUCGUGACUCACCAUCUAUAGGAGAAAU